GCUUCCGUGGCGUAAUGGGCUAGCGCGUUCGGCUGUUAGCCGAAAGGUUGGUGGUUCGAGUCCACCCGGGGUCG
rnacentral:tRNA from 1 species